AGAGGUAUAGCUCCAUGAUAGAGCAUUUGGCUAGUAUACUGAGACCCUGGGUUAGACCCCCAGUAUCACUA
rnacentral:tRNA from 1 species